CAAGAAUUAGGCUGAGUGCUGGAGACUUAAAUUGGUGAUUCCCGAACUUUCCAAAACUUUGGAAAACUUUUAAGACACAGAUUCCCAAGGACUUAUCCAAGACGUAUUGAGAUCAGAUAGACCAGCUAGGCAAGAAGUGGAAGAUGAACUUGGACAGGAGAGGAUGAGAACCUUUGGUUCAACAGUGGGAGGAAGAAGGAUCUUCCAUCAGGAGGACCAGGGAGCUGACAGCAAGCAGCCUUGGGGCUGUGCUUCAGCAAUGAAGGACCAAUUCUCCUGCCCACUCCCAUCACCUCUACAUCAUCUAUGGACAACACCCAUUCAAUGAUCUGGCCCCUAGACUAAGCUUCCAGAAGAAAGGUGGAUGGACAGCUUCUGUGGCAAUGACCACUUUCAUAGAGGCACUGGCUAGGAUCAGUGGAAGUCCCCCAUGAGUCAUGGCUGUGGUGGACACAUCAUUUCUAUUACAUAGGCAUUAGGGCAGGUAUUUGAUAGCAGAGUUUCUAGACCUGAGCACAACUGACAUUUUGAUAGACAAUUCAUUGUUAUUUGCAAUAUUAUGCACUGUGGAGCACCUGCCUCCUACUUGUAACACCUAAAAAGUGUCUCCAGAUAUAGCCAGAUGUCCACUGGGGAGCAAAAUCACGCCUGUGAUGUGGGGCAGGGAACCAGUGUUCUACAUAAUAACUUCAUAAUAGUGCCACAAUCCCCACGGCACAGAAGACAACACUGAAUUAGAGAUAGUCAGUCGGCUGUCCAAGGUUCCAGGACCAGUGAACGGUUUGCUUUGUUUGAAGCAUGUGUUUCUUUAGCAUUCUGCCUCUCUUCAUGGGACUUAAGUCUAGCUCAGAAUCUUUAAAAUAGUAGGCAUUUCGUAAAUGUUUGUUACGUUAAAUAAUACAUGAAUGAAUGACAGGAUUUUCCCAUUUUAAUUCUGUAGGUUCUUAUCCUCCAUCGAAGUAAAUAGGCAGAAAUUUUAUAGUCAGUAACAAGGACCACUGAGCCUGAAGCAGUGAUAAUCAGCCUUGUUCACAUCGAUGUCCAAAGGUCUCUCACCUGGAGUGGCCCAAGAGGCAUAAGGCUUUUCUGAAAAGCUACUGAGAGAGACCAGAGAGAUCACACCAGCUGUGUGACAGCCUGAGACACAGGUGAUCUACAAGAAAGAAGAACGUCUUGCUGUCAUGGUUAUCACUACUCCCUUGGGUAAACAGUCUUCAUAUCUGUAUCAGAUAAAUAAAAAAGCAGAAGGGGGACCUCGCUGGUGGUCCAGGGGUUAAAGACCUUGCCUUCCAGGGCAGAGGGUACAGAUUCCAUCCCUGGUGGAGGGGCUGAGACUCUUGCAUGCCUGCCUCCUGGCCACAAAAACAAAACAGAAGUAAUAUUGUAACAAAUUUAAUAAAGACUUAAAAAAAUGAUUCACAUCAAAAAAAAAAAAUCUUAAAGAAACAGAAACAACAGUAGGACUCCUUCCCCUCCUUCUUUAUAUGAAUGGUUUGAGGUGUAUAUGACACUCAUACAAAGAAGAACUUUGGCCUGGGAGUCAGGAGACCUGGAUUCCAGGCCUGAUUCUAAUUAACCAUGGGAUGUGAAUACAUCAUUUGGCCCCUGAGACUGUUUCAUUGUCUGAUAUUUAGAAAUGGAGACACACGAUGGCUCAGAUCUUUUCUGAAUCUCUUGUUCUUUGAACCCAUGUGUAUUAGACGAUCAUCUACUGUUCUUUUCUAGAUCUCUUGUUCUCUGGACUUGUGUAUAUAAGAUUGCCAUUUACUGCAGUAUUAAAAGCGUCUGCUGUAAGCCAUUUCUGUGAAUUGCUAUAGAAUUUAGAUUGGAGCUGGAAAAAUCAAUAACCAAGUCACCAAACAUAUAAGUUAGCUCUCAUGACUUGAUUAUCUCUAUGCAUUGCAAAUAGCUUGGAUUUAAAUAUUUAUGAUUUUGCAGCCGGUUCAGGCAUGUAGUCAUUCUGUCAUGUAUUGAAUAAAAAAUAAUCAAUGGAAAAUAAUGCCCUCAUCAAGCUCCAGUCAAACUGAAUGUUGAAUAGCCUAACUGCAGACAUGGCAGAUUUUCUUUAAAUCAAUCUUCCAAAAGGAGUCCUACACUUAUAAACACCCAACAACCACUCUUUCCUGUGGAACCACUCAAAUUUCUGUCUCUACUGCUGCAUUUGUGACAUUCUCUCCAUUCCGAAUAUUCUAGCAACUCUCAAAAGUCUACUACAGAUGGACAGUGAGGUCUCUUGAAUUUUCUCAUGAGAGGUAACACUUUCUGCCUCUGAAUUCUUUCAGUCAAAAAACGUUGAGUACUUUCUCUGUUAUAUUCCCUGGAGCUCAGAGCCGAGGAAAUGAUUGCUGAACCCACAGAGGUAUAUGCAAGGUGUUCUAAGAGCAUCUAUGCCCUGUAAGACUAAGGUGAGGUUACCUGAGUAAGGUAGGGAAAUGGUACAAGACAAGGGUGACAGGCAGGAGAAAGGGGGACAGUUGAUGUCACUGUUUCAUUCUGCAAUCACCGCAGCUUAAUACAUAAGACCCUGUUUCAGGAGCAUGAACUGUAAGAAAGCAUCAUUCAUAAAUCUAUACAGGAAGGUGAAGGAUGAUUUGUGUAAGGUGGCUUAAGCCAGUGCAAGUCUAAUGAGGGGGUGGACAUGAUCAGAUUAGUAUUUUAUAGGAGAGCUCUCUGACAACCGCAUGGAAGAUAGGACAAAGAAAGACAUAACCAGCUAGGAGAAAAGUGAGACAUUCAGGAAGCUGUUGGAGUGAAACAGAUCAGAUAUCCUGAUAGUGAGCACAAAGGCAGUAGUCAGGAAGUGAACAGGAACGUUAAGUUAAGAAUAUAUUAAGAGGUAAAAGUCCACCAAACAUUAUUGUAUAUGAUGCUUAAAGAAAAGGCAGGAAUUCAUGAUGCUAUCCUGAUUUCUGGCUUGGAAGAUGAAGUGGAUGAUGGUGGUUUUCACCAGCUUGAGGAACAGAGCAGGUCUGGGGGUAGAAUAAAUUUAUAAUUUGAGGUAUAUUGAGUUUGGAGUGCCAGUGGCACAUGUCAAUGGAAAGGUCCUUUAGGCAUUGAAAUACAUAAAAUCAAAAACUCAGGAAAGCGAUAUGAGCUAAAGACAUAGAUUCUUUAACCUUUUUACGGUGAAAUAUAACACACACCCAUAAAAGUACAGCCUAAUGAAUUAUAAAUUAACCAUUCAUGCAACUCGGGUCAAGAAAUAAGGCCCUUCCAUUUUCAAAGCCACUUGAAUACCUUUUCCUAAUCACAGCCAAGUCCCUCCCUCCCAACAGAAUAACCAUCUUGAUUUUAUGGUAAUCACUUUCCUAUUUUCUACUUUAAUGGCACCCCGCUCCAGUGUUCUUGCUUAGAGAAUCCCAGGGACAGGGGAGCCUGAUGGGCUGCCGUCUAUGGGGUCGCACAGAGUCAGACACGACUGAAGCGACUUAGCAGCAGCAGCAGCAGCAUUUUCUACUUUUAGCACGUAAUUCUUAAUCCCUCCAGCUUAAUUGUACCCAUUUUGAUCUUUAUAAUGACGUGGAAUGUAUUUUUUAUGACUAGUGUCUUGUCUCCUAUAUAUUUGCAAAAUAAAUCCAUGAUGCUUGCUGUGAGUCACUGUGGUUCAUUUGUUUUCAUUGUAAUAUAGUAUCCAGUUUUAUUUUU